rnacentral:rRNA from 1 species
UACGAAGGGGGCUAGCGUUGCUCGGAAUCACUGGGCGUAAAGGGCGCGUAGGCGGCCAUUCAAGUCGGGGGUGAAAGCCUGUGGCUCAACCACAGAAUUGUCUUCGAUACUGUUUGGCUUGAGUUUGGUAGAGGUUGGUGGAACUGCGAGUGUAGAGGUGAAAUUCGUAGAUAUUCGCAAGAACACCAGUGGCGAAGGCGGCCAACUGGACCAAUACUGACGCUGAGGCGCGAAAGCGUGGGGAGCAAACAGG